CUUCAGACCUAUUAAUAUACAGAGUAGAUGUUGUAAAGCUUACCAGUUAACAAUGAUUUUAUGUAGCAAGCAUAACGUCUAUCUAAUUUACAAUUAACUAAUAUCAUUCGAACAACAAGGUUGUAUUGAUGAAACGAUGGGCUGUAGAGUACAACUAAAUACGCAUGGCUUUAAAUUACACAAAGCAAUCAAGAAUAAAAAAUAAACUUAUUCAUUUGCCAUAUUGACUAUAAGAGGUCUUUAACUCGGUUCUAUACGACUAUUGAAAGUCUUCGACAUGUAGAGGAUCAAUCCAAAAAUAACAAGAAAAGCAUAAUUAUUGCAUCAUCAAAACUUCCGGUCUGACAUUACCAACAUGGCAGCUGAAUGAAUAGACAGCUAUUAAUAUGUCGACCACCAGCUAUUAAUAUAGCUUCAGUGGAAAUUAUUGCACACGUCUAAACUUGGUUGUGCAACGCUCACUGGGAAAAAGUCUUGGCUACAUGUCACUACAAGAAAUAAAUAAAAUAAGCUUCAUAAGAAUCAAUUUGUUGAAAAACUAAUAAGAGUGUCAAAUAUGGCCAGAAAAGUUGAACUGCCAGAAGAUGAUGACUCAUCCAUCAGAGCUCUUGGUAUACGCAUGCGAACAAGAAUUAGGUCAGGUAUGUUUCUUUACUUUGCAUUCUUCCUUUCAUUACGAAGAGCCUCUUCUUUAAUAAUCUAAUGAAACUGUUGCAACAAAUGACAACCUAAAUCCACUUAUUUGAUUAAAUUACACAUCUGUUUAGAUGUAGUGAAAGUUACUAAUGUGAAUGAGGUUGUUAAAAACAAGCAAUAUAGAAAAAGAUUACUUUAGAUUAAACAAAAAUAAGCUUAUCUAAGGGAGAUCACCGCUAAUUUGAUUAGCCUCUGUUUUAUGUUAUCAAACCUGCUUUUCUUUGGACGACUCUUACUUCGUGCUCUAUCUACCUUGAAGAAUGACUUUUGAUAGUGAGUCAUGUCUUACAAUAUAACUAAACCAGCUGAGCUAUCUUUACACAGUAUUAAGGAUAUCUUUAUAUUUUGACAGCCAGGGUGUUGACUUAUUAAACUCUUCUUUUUCUGAUAUCUGAUAUUCAUCAUUUUUCUGUCAACCGUUUUUCCUUUAACCUCUGUAUUCCGUGUCCAACUUUCACAACGAUAUAGAAUUACAGGGACCAUUAGUGAAGAAUGCAGUUUUCAUUUAACUGGGAAGCUGAUGUUACUAUUACAGAAUUUCCAAAGUUUAAUAUUUAUUAACUUAUGUAUACUUUUGUCAUAAUAAUAAUUGUUCAUUCAACUACUUGUUAACAGAUGAGUUAAAAGAUAGAAUAUCUCAUUUAAGCAGACAGAUAUAUAAGAUUAUAUUAUAAGUGUUAGCAGAUGGAAGUCUUUAUAAUCUAUUUUUAUUUAUAUAUGGCAUUUUUAAAGUCUGAACGAAUGACAGGAAAGGUAUUAUUUUUCACGAUGUAAGAAGCCAGUGUGUAAAAAAUGCCCCAAAGAACAAUUAAGAUUAAUUUAGUGUUUGGUAUUUACAGUUAAACAUAUGACACCUACACUUAGUGAGAAAUAAAUGUAGUUACUAUAGAGCUAGUUAGGAUAAAUAGCUGCAACAUAUACAGGGCCGACUUUAAGGCAGGGCAGGUGAGGCUAUAGCCCCGGGCACUCUACAAAAAAGAAACCUCUACAAGAGAUUUUAAAAGUCCAAAAUUUAGACGGUUUGUCAACCUUUCCUUUUUCUUCCGAACGUUUUUUGUCCACAUUUAUACCAACAAAACAGAUCCCUUAAACUUUACGAUUGACAACUAUUGCUGUAGAAGCUUUUUAAUUAUGUUUUUCCUUUCAUAGUCGAAAUUUUGGCUGCUGGCAAUAGUUGAUAGUUGAAAAUUG